GUGCUCGCUUCAGCAGCACAUAUACUAAAAUUGGAAUGAUACAGAGAAUAUUAACAUAGCCCUUGUGCAUGGAUGACACGCAAAUUUGUGAAGCAUUCCAUACUUUU